GGGUUGUGAGGUUAAGCGACUAAGCGUACACGGUGGAUGCCCUGGCAGUCAGAGGCGAUGAAGGGCGUGCUAAUCUGCGAUAAGCGCCGGUAAGGUGAUAUGAACCGUUAUAACCGGCGAUACCCGAAUGGGGAAACCCAGUGUGAUUCGUCACACUAUCAUUAACUGAAUCCAUAGGUUAAUGAGGCGAACCGGGGGAACUGAAACAUCUAAGUACCCCGAGGAAAAGAAAUCAACCGAGAUUCCCCCAGUAGCGGCGAGCGAACGGGGAGGAGCCCAGAGCCUGAAUCAGCAUGUGUGUUAGUGGAAGCGUCUGGAAAGGCGCGCGAUACAGGGUGACAGCCCCGUACACAAAAGCGCAUGUGCUGUGAGCUCGAUGAGUAGGGCGGGACACGUGGUAUCCUGUCUGAAUAUGGGGGGACCAUCCUCCAAGGCUAAAUACUCCUGACUGACCGAUAGUGAACCAGUACCGUGAGGGAAAGGCGAAAAGAACCCCGGCGAGGGGAGUGAAAAAGAACCUGAAACCGUGUACGUACAAGCAGUGGGAGCACCCUUUGGGGUGUGACUGCGUACCUUUUGUAUAAUGGGUCAGCGACUUAUAUUCUGUAGCAAGGUUAACCGUAUAGGGGAGCCGCAGGGAAACCGAGUCUUAAUUGGGCGUUAAGUUGCAGGGUAUAGACCCGAAACCCGGUGAUCUAGCCAUGGGCAGGUUGAAGGUUGGGUAACACUAACUGGAGGACCGAACCGACUAAUGUUGAAAAAUUAGCGGAUGACCUGUGGCUGGGGGUGAAAGGCCAAUCAAACCGGGAGAUAGCUGGUUCUCCCCGAAAGCUAUUUAGGUAGCGCCUCGUGAAUUCAUCUCCGGGGGUAGAGCACUGUUUCGGCUAGGGGGCCAUCCCGGCUUACCAACCCGAUGCAAACUGCGAAUACCGGAGAAUGUUAUCACGGGAGACACACGGCGGGUGCUAACGUCCGUCGUGAAGAGGGAAACAACCCAGACCGCCAGCUAAGGUCCCAAAGUCAUGGUUAAGUGGGAAACGAUGUGGGAAGGCCCAGACAGCCAGGAUGUUGGCUUAGAAGCAGCCAUCAUUUAAAGAAAGCGUAAUAGCUCACUGGUCGAGUCGGCCUGCGCGGAAGAUGUAACGGGGCUAAACCAUGCACCGAAGCUGCGGCAGCGAACGUAUCACUUAAAGCGAUUCAGCGGGUUACGAUUGACGGAGCGAAGCGACGUCAAAGCGUAUACAAAGUCGAGUCGGUUUAAGGAUACGUUCGUUGGGUAGGGGAGCGUUCUGUAAGCCUG
rnacentral:rRNA from 1 species